rnacentral:lncRNA from 10 species
AACUCAUGAAAGCAGCCAAGAAGGUGGUUGCACCCUGCAAAGCCACAGGGGUGGUGUUGCCCAAGACCAUGGGAAUCCACCUCUUGCAUCAGUGUGACAUGGAUGUGAGAUAUGGAGUCAAAGGAGAUCAUUUUGGAGCUUCAAGUUUUGACUGCCCUGCUGGAUUUUGAACUUGCAUGGAGCCUUGGCCCCUGCAUUUUGGCCAAUUUCUCCCAUUUGGAAUGGCUGUAUUUACCCAAUGCAUGUAACCCCAUCGUAUUUAGGAAGUAACUAACUUGCUUUUGAUUUUACAGGCUCAUAGGUGGAAGGGAUUUGCCUUAUCUCAGAUGAGACUUUAGAUUGUGGACUUUUGAGUUAAUACUGAAAUGAGUUAAGACUUUGGGGGACUGUUAGGAAGGCAUGAUUGGUUUUGAAAUGUGAGAGCAUGAGAUUUGGAGGGACCAGGGGCAGAAUGAUAUGGUUUGGCUCUGUGUCCCCACCCAAAUCUCAUAUUGAGUUGUAGCUCCCAUAAUUCCCACAUGUUGUGGGAGGGAUCUGGUGGGAGAUAAUUGAAUCAUGCAGACAGUUUUCCCCAUAAUGUUCUCAUGGUAGUGAAUAAGUCUCAUGAGAGCUCAUGGUUUUAUAAGGGGAAAUCCUUUUUGCUUGGCCCUCUUUCUCUCUCUUUGCUGGCUGCCAUGAAAAAUAUCCCUUUGCUCUUCCUUUGUCUUCUACCAUGAUUGUGAGGCCUCCCCAGCCAUGUGGAACUGUGAGUCAAUUAAACUUCUUUUCUUUGUAAAUUACCCAGUCAUGGGUAUGCAGUGUGAAAAUGGACUAAUACAAUAAUCUAUAUUUUAUUACUUCUUUGAUGGUUCCAAUACCUAUUAAACGUUUCUUCGUGUGAUAUAAAAUUGCUUUCUAAAAUCCGAAGAACCUCAGAAAAUAUGCUUAUGUAAUUCAUAUAAUUUUGUUAUUUUCCCUCCUCUGCAUGAGCUAAUAAUUUAAAUUCCUUGAGUUUACAAAUUUUUGACUUCUAAAUUGGCCCAUAUUUUAUCUUCUCUUUCUAUAAUAGCUAGAAAAUAAGUGGUCCCACGUACAUGUUUAGAUUCUAAUCAUACUUUUCUGAAAAUCUUUUACAAAAAAUAGGCUGCUUUCUCACUUUAUGCCCUCACUCCCUCUCCUUAAAUAUAAGAACAACCUGUUCUCAAGUAGCUCAAAAUCCAGUAGCUCAAGAUCUCUGUUAAAAUCAUUGUUUAUUGUACUGUUAGAGAUUGUGAUUUCUCAUAACUUUUGAGUUUUGUAUGGUUGUUUGUUGCCUAAUUAAAUGUCCCAGAUUACUUUGUAUUUCUAAAAUAUCUU